rnacentral:rRNA from 1 species
ACUGUAGGCUGCAACUCGCCUACACGAAGUCGGAAUCGCUAGUAAUCGCGGAUCAGCAUGCCGCGGUGAAUACGUUCCCGGGCCUUGUACACACCGCCCGUCACACCAUGGGAGUUUUGUAACGCCCAAAGUCGGUGGCCUAACCUUUAUGGAGGGAGCCGCCUAAGGCGGGACAGAUGACUGGGGUGAAGUCGUAACAAGGUAAC